CCUACGGGAGGCAGCAGUUAGGAAUUUUGCACAAUGGGGGGAAACCCUGAUGCAGCCACGCCGCGUGCGGGAUGAAGGCCUUCGGGUCGUAAACCGCUUUUCUCAGGGAAGACACCCGACGGUACCUGAGGAAUAAGCAACGGCUAACUACGUGCCAGCAGCCGCGGUAAUACGUAGGUUGCGAGCGUUGUCCGGAUUUAUUGGGCGUAAAGCGCGCGCAGGCGGUCCUGCAAGUCCACGGUGAAAGCUCCCGGCCAACUGGGAGAGGCCCGUGGAAACUGCAGGACUUGAAGGCUGGAGAGGCAGAUGGAAUUUCCGGUGUAGCGGUAAAACUGCGUAGAUACCGGAAGGAACACCAGUGGCGAAAGCGAUCUGCUGGCCAGCCCUUGACGCUCAGGCGCGAAAGCUAGGGGAGCGACCGGGAUUAGAUACCCCGUUAGUCCUAGCCGUAAACCGAUGGUCACUAGGUGUUGUCGGUAUCGACCCCGGGCAGUGCCGUAGCUAACGCAUUAAGUGACCCGCCUGGGGAGUACGACCGCAAGGUUAAAACCUUAAAGAGUAGUUACGGACGUCGUAGACGUACUCGACGGACGGCCACCACGGGGAGGGUUAGAGG
rnacentral:rRNA from 1 species